AGUAACGCGUAAACAACCUGCCCUUCGGAUGGGGAUAACAGCCGGAAACGGCUGCUAAUACCGAAUACGAUCUUUUCGUCGCAUGACGAAAAGAAGAAAGGAUGGCCUCUAUACAAAGCUAUCGCCGAAGGAGGGGUUUGCGUCUGAUUAGCUGGUUGGAGGGGUAACGGCCCAACAAGGCGAUGAUCAGUAGCCGGUCUGAGAGGAUGAACGGCCACAUUGGGACUGAGACACGGCCCAGACUCCUACGGGAGGCAGCAGAC
rnacentral:rRNA from 1 species